UGUUUCAUUCUGACACAGCUCCAAACCAAACACAGCUCAGUGCUUUCUUAAAAAAAAAAAGAGUACAUUGUUUACAAUAAAACAGCAAGAUGCAGGUGUCACUGUUCAAACAUAAGCACAGUGGAAGACUAACAUGAGGAAAAAUUGGCUACAUUCAAUAUAAGAGCUAUAAGCAUAGGGGAUUAGGUUUAAAUUAAAGAUAUGUUAAAAGUGGCUCUAAAAAUAAGAGAAAGGGGAAAGGGAAAGAUUGUCAAGACACCAGGUGGCAAAAGUGUGCAAUUAGGCCUACACCUAGGGUAGCCUACAUUCCAAAGCAGACGCGCUCGCGCUGCCAUCAGGCGAAGAUAAAAGCACAGAAGGCUUUAUAUGAUGCGACGACAAUUCAUGACCCGUUCGGAACUGCACUCCGAGGAAGACGAGUGGGUAGGCCAAAUUAAGCCAGAUGGGUCUCUCUGCUUCGUAUUGCUUUGAGCUGCAGUGCCAAGAACUUCCUGUCCAGGUGCACCAAAGCGAGUGAAAUUUUCAGCUGCUUUAAAGAUGGUGGCAGAGUGAAUCAUUAAGGACAAGAAGGAUUUGGGGAGCUGAAAGCGCAUUAGCGUGCGCCACAACUCAUCGGAGGACUGGAACGUUGGAUUCUCCCAUACAACUCAAAGAUGGAGAGGGAGCGAACAGGGUGAUUCUGGCGACGGUUUGCGCUUCACAGCCUCGCUGAGUACAAAAGCAAAGUGGACGCCGCGCGUAAAUCGUGUCCAUCUCUCGUCAUCACACCACUCUGAAAACAGAAAGACAAUCGGCCUAUAUCCAGGAGUUACACGACUCACACAUGAAGAGCGAGGUGGUGAUGGGAUAAUCAGCAAGCAACUCAACCAGCGCAAGGAACGCAACAAAGGGAGUCCCCCACUGUAGUUGGUUGAACGGUGGAAGCUGGCCGCGGAACUGGAGACUCUACCCCAGGGGGACUGUAUUUAGUACCCAGGAGAAAUUGAAGCACCAGUCUUCCCGUGUGCAGUCUGCUCCUCUCUGCGCAUUCACCUUAGCCAAGGCAGAGUGCACGCGAUGCGGUGACUCCAGGGAUUUCUGGGGGGGUGUGGGACACAACACGUCUCACCCUGCUGCCAGGGGUAAGGUCCCC